ACAGCAGGGGAAGACUGAGGUGACCCCGGCCGCUCAGGGUCUGCAAGCCUAAAAGGAGGGACCCAGGACCCACCACAGACCCGCUGGACCCCAAGGGCCAGGGAGCGAUUCUGGCCCUGGCGAGUGACCUGGCCUACCAGACCCUCCCGCUCAGGGCCCUGGAUGUGGACAGCGGCCCCCUGGAAAACGUGUAUGAGAGCAUCCGGGAGCUGGGGGACCCUGCUGGCAGGAGCAGCACGUGCGGGGCUCGGACGCCCCCUGCUUCCAGCUGCCCCAGCCUAGGGAGGGGCUGGAGACCCCUCCCUGCCCUGAACACUCAAGGACCUGUGCUCCUUCCUCCAGAGUGAGGCCCGUCCCCCGCCCCGCCCCGCCUCACAGCUGACAGCGCCAGUCCCAGGUCCCCGGGCUGCCAGCCCGUGAGGUCCGUGAGGUCCUGGCCGCUCUGACAGCCGCGGCCUCCCCGGGCUCCAGAGAAGGCCCGCGUCUAAAUAAAGCGCCAGCG
rnacentral:lncRNA from 1 species